UCAUCCAUCUAUUAUUUCUCCCUAACAUCAUUUCUCUUUCUGUUCUGCUCGAUAGAGAGACUGUAGCUAUCUUUUCUUCUUCACUUCCAUCACCACCACAGACCACAGAACCACUAUCCACUACUUCCAUCAGCACAACAACACCUUCUUCUUCAUCUUCUCCCUUGAUUUGGUUUGCAUACAGAAAAUCAACGAAGCCCCAAGAACCCUAUAAUAAAAAUCUGGAUUGUUUCUACUUCACAGAUUGCAAAUCAAUGUUAGAAAUCAAAGCUUUAUCCUAACCCAUUGCAGCAUUUUCUUCUUCAAAUCAUCAUUCUAGUUACGAUCUUGAGCAUCAAUUUUAUCAAGUAUAAUGUAUCGAUUUUUUUUUUUUUGGUUAAGAUUUCAAUUUCUGAGUUGGGGGGUUUUGGCUAUGGGUUAGAAUUGGGGAUUUAAAAUAGUCUUUUGUAACCGAUUGAGUGUUCGAAUGUUAGUUUAGUUGUUUAAUUUUCUUGCAUCUAUUGUUCUUGCUUGAUUUGGGAAUUUUUGAUUUGAAGGUUCAAAUAGAACUCCAACUCUACUGAUUUUGUUGAAGAGAUCUGAGAUAUGGGUUGCAAUAUAAGUAUAAUUUUAUUUUGAUCUGUAACCUUAACUGGCAGUUGAUUUUUUUGGUUUGUUUUAUCUGAGUCUUUUAGGUUGAGGAAAACAUCUACUGCAACUUCACAAAGAAGGAUUUAACCCCAUCUUCAAUUGGAAUUAGUUUCAUGAUUCUCAUGGUGUUUCUUGAGUUAACGUUGUUCUCUUGGUAUUUUUUUGUUUUUAUUCGAUUGAUAUGUCUAUGUUUGAUGUUGUUCUUGUUUGUGAGGUGGGUUUAAGUUUUUGAGUACUGGGUUUUCUUAGUUUUUAUUUGAUUGAUAUGUCAAUGUAUCAGUUGCUCACCUUGCAUAACAUUGUUUAUACAUUGGUCAACUUGACACAGGGAAUUUUUUUCUUCGCAGAGUUCACAGUUGGGCUGUUCUUGCCCACACUCAACCUGUUUAGCAGAUGCCUGUGAUCAUGUGUACCUCUUUGACAAUGACUAUGAAGCUGCUGAGGAUAUUAAUGGUCAACCAAUGCAUGAUAGAUUUCCAUAUGAUGAAGAUGGUUGAAUUAUUUUAAAGGAGAUAUACCCAGUUUAUGGGUACAACUCAAUGUCCCGCUGUGACAAGAAUUGCCGGAACAGGAUUUUACAAAAUGGGGUGAAAGUCAAAUUAGAGAUUUUUAAAACGGAGAAAAAGCUACCACUCUGGAUAUCUCAUCAUGUCGGUAAUUCUGGAUAAACCUUUUUACAUGUGUUUUUCACAGGGUUGGGCAGUCAGAGCUGGUGAAGAAAUUUCAUGUGGAACAUUUGUGUGUGAGUACAUUGGGGAAGUUCUAAAUGAUCAGGAGGCAACCAAGAGGUAUGACUAGGAGGGUUGCAGCUAUCUGUAUCACAUUAACUCUCACAUCGAUGUCAUGAGUGAACUAGUUUACAGGAAUGUUUCUCGGUUCAUUAACCAUAAUUGCUCGCCCAACCUUGUUACAUACCAAGUUUUGGUGGAUAAUAUGGAUAUGCCAACUUGCACAUAUUGGAUUAUAUGCGAAUCGUAUCCUCAAAACCCACCUUGAAAGGAACUGUCUUCAAUGUGUCAACAGAAAUUAAUGUCAGAUUCAGAUACCCCUACCCCAAAAUUGAAAGAUGCGAGAGGAUAUAAACCUUCAAGAAGCCAAAACAGGACGAGAAUACUUUAGACGUUGAACUUUUUGAGAAUCCUAGCAAUAUCCUGGAGCUUAGGUUUUGGGCUUCUUAUCGCGGAUAAACAUUUGCUAGGACUGAGUUGCUUUCACUGAUGUUGUUGAAACUCUUAAGGAGGGUAGAGUUCAUAUAGACUACUCAAAGCUUUUUAAGGCUGAUGACAAUGAGAAAGACAAGGUGCUUGCUCCUUAUAGAGCGGAGUACCAAGUUGCAGAGGAGAUAGAAUGGUACAACAUCAAUGCCAACUGCAAAAGCUUUGGCUUAUUUCAAAGUGAAGCUAAGUAUCACUGUCGCCUGCUGAAUUAGGCAUCGAGUUGAGCAUUUCUGAAAUUUACUAAAUUUACAGUCAUAUUUCAUACUAAAAUUACAGUCAUAUUUCAAACUUAGGAAGAGGUAGUGGUUAUGAAGAAACAUUGACGAGAUGUUAGAUUGCAUCUAGAUUAUCCUUUUGGAAAACAAAACUUACUUCCGAUUGUUCAUCUUAAUUAAAUUUGAUAUAGAACUUGGUUUUAAAAAUCUAAGUUCUUUUCGUGGCACCUAACUAAUGCUUGAAGUGGAAUUUAUUACUAGCAAUGACGUAGGAAAACUCAGAUAUGUGUCAUAUUCUGUACCAGGUAUACUGAUUUGGAGCUUUUAACUUAGUUGUUCUGUAUGGAGUGUAAAAUUGAUAUUAUAUGGCCAUGUAUUUAACUUAGUGAGAGAAAAUGAGUGAGAGAAGUGUUGAAAGAGGAUGCUUCUCAAGGAGAACUGUCUUGGCUUUUCAUUUCAUUCUUGCAGUGUGACCAAAUAAAUUGUCUAAAAUAGUUUUAUGGGUUUAAGGUUCUUCGUGAUUCUGGUUUUAUAUUGAUAAUUUGAUAUGAUGUAUGUGUUGGUAGGAAUUAGAUUCAAUGCCUUAAUUCAACGUUGCAGAAGAGUACAGACAGAAAACAUGGAAGCCUAAAUUCAACAUUGAGAAAGAAAAGCAGAAGGCUGAUGAAGUAGGUACAGGCAUAAUAUCUCUGAAUUCGAGAAAAGGAUAUUUGAGGUCCUUUACAAGUUUGCGAACCUUCCUUUCUUGGCUGAUUACAAGCUCAAGGUAUAUGAUAAUAUUGAGAAAGGUGAGAAACAGCUAAAUAUCACCAUUGGUAUCCUUGUUUCUGUUGCACUGGUUAUGUAGACCUCUAUAGGAUUCUUUUUGGCGGUAAGAAAGCAGUGUUAAGUUUUUAGUACUUAAAGAUAUUAUCAUUUGCCCGACUUUUUUCUCCUAAUUAUUCAAGUUUUAGCCAUAUAAUGUUUGUUAAUUUACUUUGAUAAGGUAUACACUACAUUAUCAUGGGAUGGUUUUUGAAUUCUCUUUAGUCGAGCUGUUAAUGUAGGUUUGAUGUAGGUCCACUGGUGCUGCUUUUCUCUAUUUUGUUGGUAUUGGUACAUGGUGGUUUGUGAGCCUGGUGAUGCUUAUUGUUUAAACACCUGUUGUGAUGUUUCUCGUAGUAAUGGGUUCAUCAGUAGGUAUUUGUUUCCUCAUGCUUUUCUCAAUCACUGCGCUAAUAGCAACUGGUUUAUCAGUAGGAAGAACAAAACUGUUGAGUUCUUUUGGUCAUUCAUCUUGGGGCCUCUCUGCAAUCUUACCUGCAAUACCUGUUACCGUUCUUACAUUAGGAUUCCAUGUAUAACCCAUUCUAUAUCUUGUGCUCGAGAUAUGUCAAGGUCGUGAAUUAAUGAACUAGUUACGUUUAUGCCGUUGUGUCGAUGUUGGACAGAGGCAGGUAAGGAUAUUGACAUCAUAUUGGUUAGGAUACCCACCUUUAUUGAUCACUGUCCUCUCAUGUGGAUGGCAUGGUUAUUGUUUUUAUAAGCGUUUUCUUGAGUAUUGUGACCUCCCCACAUGAAUCAGCUGAUGGCUUUUGUUGUGCAGGUACACCAUUAUGAAGUAGGAAUAAGUUGUUCAUCAUCAAUGGAGUUUAUAAUUUUGUUGUUCAAUCAAUAGUUUUUUAGUUCAUUGUUUGGUAAUCGAAUUCUAGAACCACAGAUUACACUGGUCAGAACUACAAAUUUACAUAUUUUAAUCCUUUGUGUAAUUUGAAACCAAUGAAUCAAUGAAUGUUAAAUUGAAUGAUAA